rnacentral:rRNA from 1 species
AUUGAACGCUGGCGGCAUGCUUUACACAUGCAAGUCGAACGGCAGCACGGGUGCUUGCACCUGGUGGCGAGUGGCGAACGGGUGAGUAAUGUAUCGGAACGUACCCGGCAAGGGGGGAUAACGUAGCGAAAGUUACGCUAAUACCGCAUAUGCCCAGAGGGGGAAAGUGGGGGAGCGCAAGACCUCGCGUUGUCGGAGCGGCCGAUAUCAGAGUAGCUAGUUGGUGGGGUAAAGGCCUAUCAAGGCGACGAUCUGUAGCUGGUCUGAGAGGACGACAAGCAACACUGGGACUGAGACACGGCCCAGACUCCUACGGGAGGCAGCAGUGGGGAAUUUUGGACAAUGGGGGCAACCCUGAUCCAGCCAUGCCGCGUGAGUGAAGAAGGCCUUCGGGUUGUAAAGCUCUUUCGGACAGAAAGAAAUCGCCACUUCUAAUAAGGGUGGUGGAUGACGGUACUGUAAGAAGAAGCACCGGCUAACUACGUGCCAGCCGCCGCGGUAA